AGUAACGCUUCGGAAUCUACCUGAUGGUGGGGAAUAACCAGCCGAAAGGUUGGCUAAUACCGCAUACGUCCCCCUUGAUAAAAGGGGGGGAAAGCGGGGGAUCGCAAGACCUCGCGCCGCCAGAUGAGCCGAAGCCGGAUUAGCUAGUUGGUAGGGUAACGGCCUACCAAGGCGACGAUCCGUAGCUGGUCUGAGAGGACGACCAGCCACACUGGGACUGAGACACGGCCCAGACUCCUACGGGAGGCAGCAGUGGGGAAUAUUGGACAAUGGGGGCAACCCUGAUCCAGCGACGCCGCGUGUGUGAAGAAGGCCUGCGGGUUGUAAAGCACUUUUAGUGGGGAUGAAAAGUACAGGGCUAACACCUCUGUAUCUUGACCUAACCCACAGAAAAAGCACCGGCUAACUCUGUGCCACAC
rnacentral:rRNA from 1 species